AACGAACGCUGGCGGCAGGCUUAACACAUACAAGUCGAACGCCCCGUAAGGGGAGUGGCAGACGGGUGAGUAACGCGUAGGAAUCUACCUAGUUCUACGGAACAACUGAGGGAAACUUCAGCUAAUACCGUAUACGCCCUAAGGGGGAAAGAUUUAUCGGAAUUAGAUGAGCCCGCGUAAGAUUAGCUAGUUGGUGGGGU
rnacentral:rRNA from 1 species